GCCUGGGUAGCUCAGUCGGUUAAGCGUCUGACUUCAGUUCAGGUCAUGAUCUCAUGGUUCAUAGGGUCAAGCCCUAUGUCGGGCU
rnacentral:tRNA from 1 species